rnacentral:lncRNA from 1 species
UCAUGAGUCUUUGACCACAAUACUAAAAUCUGCAAUUACUUCCAACACUCCUCGUUGAGGAAACUCUGUUGAUAACUUUACCAUGCAGUCAACUCUACACUAGCCCAUCCGCAUAGGCGCACCUGCCAUGGUGAACAAUGAUUUCAACACUCCCUCCCAACCUCAACUCUAUCACCGACAUUUCAUCAAAGUUCCAAUUGAAACCAUCAAAUUACAUUUGGCAGCCAGUUCCCAAUCUUUGCUUGCUAUGGCAUCUACAUGUGAAACCAAGCAGCCACUCAUGC